rnacentral:rRNA from 1 species
AGUGAACGCUGGCGGCAGGCCUAACACAUGCAAGUCGAACGGCAGCACAGUAAGAGCUUGCUCUUACGGGUGGCGAGUGGCGGACGGGUGAGGAAUACAUCGGAAUCUACUUUUUCGUGGGGGAUAACGUAGGGAAACUUACGCUAAUACCGCAUACGACCUACGGGUGAAAGCAGGGGAUCUUCGGACCUUGCGCGAUUGAAUGAGCCGAUGUCGGAUUAGCUAGUUGGCGGGGUAAAGGCCCACCAAGGCGACGAUCCGUAGCUGGUCUGAGAGGAUGAUCAGCCACACUGGAACUGAGACACGGUCCAGACUCCUACGGGAGGCAGCAGUGGGGAAUAUUGGACAAUGGGCGCAAGCCUGAUCCAGCCAUACCGCGUGGGUGAAGAAGGCCUUCGGGUUGUAAAGCCCUUUUGUUGGGAAAGAAAAGCAGCAGGUUAAGACCCCGCUGUUCUGACGGUACCCAAAGAAUAAGCACCGGCUAACUUCGU